UACGUAGGUGGCAAGCGUUGUCCGGAUUUACUGGGCGUAAAGCGCACGUAGGCGGCUUGUUAAGUCAGGGGUGAAAUCCUGGAGCUCAACUCCAGAACUGCCUUUGAUACUGGCGAGCUUGAGUUCGGGAGAGGUGAGUGGGACUGCGAGUGUAGAGGUGAAAUUCGUAGAUAUUCGCAAGAACACCAGUGGCGAAGGCGGCUCACUGGCCCGAUACUGACGCUGAGGUGCGAAAGCGUGGGGAGCAAACAGG
rnacentral:rRNA from 1 species